GGAGCGGUGAUGAUUCCAACAUGCCAUCUGAGAGCCCGUGCUGAAACCCAGAGGCUGUUUCUGAGCUG